rnacentral:rRNA from 1 species
UCAAGCGAACAAGUGCAUGUGGUGGAUGCCUUGGCGAUCACAGGCGAUGAAGGACGCGGUAGCCUGCGAAAAGCUACGGGAGCUGGCAAACGAGCUUUGAUCCGUAGAUGUCCGAAUGGGGAAACCCGGCCCUUUUGGGUCAUCCUAGACUGAAUACAUAGGUCUAGUGAAGCGAACGCGGUGAACUGAAACAUCUAAGUAACCGCAGGAAAAGAAAUCAACCGAGAUUCCCAAAGUAGUGGCGAGCGAAAUGGGAAGAGCCUGUACUCUUUAUUUGUAUUGUUAGCCGAACGCUCUGGAAAGUGCGGCCAUAGCAGGUGAUAGCCCUGUAGGCGAAAACAGUAUGAAAGAACUAGGUGUACGACAAGUAGGGCGGGACACGUGAAAUCCUGUCUGAAGAUGGGGGGACCAUCCUCCAAGGCUAAAUACUCGUGAUCGACCGAUAGUGAACCAGUACCGUGAGGGAAAGGCGAAAAGAACCCCGGGAGGGGAGUGAAAUAGAUCCUGAAACCGCAUGCAUACAAACAGUCGGAGCCUCGCAAGGGGUGACGGCGUACCUUUUGUAUAAUGGGUCAGCGACUUACGUUCAGUAGCAAGCUUAACCGAAUAGGGCAGGCGUAGCGAAAGCGAGUCCGAAUAGGGCGUUCAGUUGCUGGGCGUAGACCCGAAACCAGGUGAUCUAUCCAUGGCCAGGAUGAAGGUGCGGUAACACGUACUGGAGGUCCGAACCCACUAACGUUGAAAAGUUAGGGGAUGAGCUGUGGAUAGGGGUGAAAGGCUAAACAAACCUGGAAAUAGCUGGUUCUCUCCGAAAACUAUUUAGGUAGUGCCUCGUGUCUCACCUUCGGGGGUAGAGCACUGUCAUGGUUGGGGGGUCUAUUGCAGAUUACCCCGCCAUAGCAAACUCCGAAUACCGAAGAGUGCAAUCACGGGAGACAGACAUCGGGUGCUAACGUCCGGUGUCAAGAGGGAAACAACCCAGACCGCCAGCUAAGGUCCCCAAAUAUGGCUAAGUGGGAAACGAAGUGGGAAGGCUAAAACAGUCAGGAGGUUGGCUUAGAAGCAGCCACCCUUUAAAGAAAGCGUAAUAGCUCACUGAUCGAGUCGUCCUGCGCGGAAGAUGUAACGGGGCUAAGCCAUAUACCGAAGCUGCGGAUGCGAGCUAGUCUCGCAUGGUAGGAGAGCGUUCCGUAAGCCUGCGAAGGUGCGUUGAAAAGCGUGCUGGAGGUAUCGGAAGUGCGAAUGCUGACAUGAGUAGCGAUAAAGGGGGUGAAAGGCCCCCUCGCCGUAAGCCCAAGGUUUCCUACGCAACGUUCAUCGGCGUAGGGUGAGUCGGCCCCUAAGGCGAGGCAGAAAUGCGUAGCUGAUGGGAAGCAGGUCAAUAUUCCUGCACCAUUGUUAGAUGCGAUGGGGGGACGGAUCGCGGAAGGUUGUCCGGGUGUUGGAAGUCCCGGUCGCUGCAUUGGAGAAGGCGCUUAGGCAAAUCCGGGCGCAGGAUUCAAGGGUGUGGCGCGAGCGCUCUAGGGCGCGAAGCAAUUGGAAGUGGUUCCAAGAAAAGCCUCUAAGCUUCAGUCUAACGAUGACCGUACCGCAAACCGACACAGGUGGGCGAGAUGAGUAUUCUAAGGCGCUUGAGAGAACUCGGGAGAAGGAACUCGGCAAAUUGGUACCGUAACUUCGGGAUAAGGUACGCCCUGGUAGCUUGACUGGCCUGCGCCAGAAGGGUGAAGGGGUUGCAAUAAACUGGUGGCUGCGACUGUUUAAUAAAAACACAGCACUCUGCAAACACGAAAGUGGACGUAUAGGGUGUGACGCCUGCCCGGUGCCGGAAGAUUAAAUGAUGGGGUGCAAGCUCUUGAUUGAAGUCCCGGUAAACGGCGGCCGUAACUAUAACGGUCCUAAGGUAGCGAAAUUCCUUGUCGGGUAAGUUCCGACCUGCACGAAUGGCGUAACGAUGGCCACACUGUCUCCUCCCGAGACUCAGCGAAGUUGAAGUGUUUGUGAUGAUGCAAUCUACCCGCGGCUAGACGGAAAGACCCCAUGAACCUUUACUGUAGCUUUGCAUUGGACUUUGAACCGAUCUGUGUAGGAUAGGUGGGAGGCUAUGAAACCGGAACGCUAGUUUCGGUGGAGCCGUCCUUGAAAUACCACCCUGGUUUGUUUGAGGUUCUAACCUUGGACCCGUGAUCCGGUCGGGGACAGUGCAUGGUAGGCAGUUUGACUGGGGCGGUCUCCUCCCAAAGCGUAACGGAGGAGUACGAAGGUACGCUAGGUACGGUCGGAAAUCGUGCUGAUAGUGCAAUGGCAUAAGCGUGCUUAACUGCGAGACCGACAAGUCGAGCAGGUGCGAAAGCAGGUCAUAGUGAUCCGGUGGUUCUGUAUGGAAGGGCCAUCGCUCAACGGAUAAAAGGUACUCUGGGGAUAACAGGCUGAUACCGCCCAAGAGUUCAUAUCGACGGCGGUGUUUGGCACCUCGAUGUCGGCUCAUCUCAUCCUGGGGCUGUAGCCGGUCCCAAGGGUAUGGCUGUUCGCCAUUUAAAGAGGUACGUGAGCUGGGUUUAAAACGUCGUGAGACAGUUUGGUCCCUAUCUGCCGUGGGCGUUGGAAGUUUGAAGGGGGCUGCUCCUAGUACGAGAGGACCGGAGUGGACGAACCUCUGGUGUACCGGUUGUGACGCCAGUCGCAUCGCCGGGUAGCUAUGUUCGGAAGAGAUAACCGCUGAAAGCAUCUAAGCGGGAAACUCGCCUUAAGAUGAGACUUCCCCGGGGACUUGAUCCCCUUGAAGGGUCGUUCGAGACCAGGACGUUGAUAGGUCGGGUGUGUAAGCGCAGUAAUGCGUUCAGCUAACCGAUACUAAUUGCCCGUACGGCUUGAUCCU